rnacentral:rRNA from 1 species
AACGAACGCUGGCGGCAUGCCUAACACAUGCAAGUCGAACGAAGCCUUCGGGCUUAGUGGCGCACGGGUGCGUAACGCGUGGGAAUCUGCCCUUGGGUUCGGAAUAACAGUUAGAAAUGACUGCUAAUACCGGAUGAUGUCUUCGGACCAAAGAUUUAUCGCCCAAGGAUGAGCCCGCGUAGGAUUAGGUAGUUGGUGGGGUAAUGGCCCACCAAGCCGACGGUCCUUAGCUGGUCUGAGAGGAUGAUCAGCCACACUGGGACUGAGACACGGCCCAGACUCCUACGGGAGGCAGCAGUGGGGAAUAUUGGACAAUGGGCGAAAGCCUGAUCCAGCAAUGCCGCGUGAGUGAUGAAGGCCUUAGGGUUGUAAAGCUCUUUCACCAGGGAUGAUAAUGACAGUACCUGGAGAAUAAGCUCCGGCUAACUCCGUGCCAGCAGCCGCAGUAAAAC